CAAUAGCGUAUAUUAAAGCUGUUGCGGUUAAAGAGCUCGUAGUUGGAUUUCUGUCAAGUACAACUGGUCCGCCCUCCGGGUGAGCACAUAGUUUGGUCUUGGCAUCUUGCUGGAAAUUGUUGCUGCACUUGGCUGUGUGGCGCAGUGUCCAGCACUUUCACUUUGAGGAAAUUGGAGUGUUUCAAGCAGGCAAUGCCUUUGAACACAGUAGCAUGGAAUAAUUAGAUUGGGCUUUUGCUCCAAUUUGUCGGUUUCUGGAGCUGAGGUGAGAAUUAAUGGGGAUUGUUGGGGGCAUCCGAAUUUAGCCGUCAGAGGUGAAAUUCUUGGAUCGGCUAAAGACGGACAACUGCGAAAGCGUUUGCCCAGGAUGUUUUCAUUG
rnacentral:rRNA from 1 species